rnacentral:rRNA from 1 species
UACGUAGGUGGCAAGCGUUGUCCGGAUUUACUGGGCGUAAAGAGCGCGCAGGCGGUCGUUCAAGUCGCGUGUGAAAGCCCCCGGCUCAACUGGGGAGGGUCACGCGAUACUGAUCGACUCGAAGGCAGGAGAGGGUAGUGGAAUUCCCGGUGUAGUGGUGAAAUGCGUAGAUAUCGGGAGGAACACCAGUGGCGAAGGCGACUACCUGGCCUGUAACUGACACUGAGGCUCGAAAGCGUGGGGAGCAAACAGG